CAAGUCGAACGAGAAAGUUCCUUCGGGAGCGAUUAAAGUGGCGCACGGGUGAGUAACGCGUAGACAAUCUGCCCUUCAGUCUGGGACAACUUUUCGAAAGGAGAGCUAAUACCGGAUAACAAUGUUUAACCUAAGUUAAGUAUUUGAAAGCUUUAUGUGCUGAAGGAGGGGUCUGCGUCCCAUUAGCUAGUUGGUAAGGUAAAGGCUUACCAAGGCGACGAUGGGUAGCGGGUUUGAGAGGACGAUCCGCCACACUGGAACUGAGACACGGUCCAGACUCCUACGGGAGGCAGCAGUGGGGAAUAUUGCACAAUGGAGGCAACUCUGAUGCAGCAAUGUCGCGUGAGUGAAGAAGGCCCUUGGGUCGUAAAGCUCUUUUAUGGGGGAAGAUGAUGACGGUACCCCAAGAAUAAGCACCGGCUAACUAUGUGCCAGCAGCCGCGGUAAUACAUAGGGUGCGAGCGUUGUUCGGAAUUACUGGGCGUAAAGGGCGCGCAGGCGGAAUAGUAAGUCGGAGGUGAAAGCCCGGGGCUCAACCCCGGAGGGUCUUUCGAAACUGCUAAUCUAGAGAGGGUCAGGGGCCGGCAGAAUUCCUGGUGUAGAGGUGAAAUUCGUAGAUAUCAGGAGGAAUACCGGUGGCGAAGGCGGCCGGCUGGGGCCACUCUGACGCUGAGGCGCGAAAGCGUGGGGAGCAAACAGGAUUAGAUACCCUGGUAGUCCACGCCGUAAACGAUGAGCACUGGACGUCCGGAGGGUUCGACCCUUCUGGGUGUUUCAGCUAACGCAU
rnacentral:rRNA from 1 species